UGGGACCCUCUCGCAGCGAGCUUUCAUUAGCACGCGUCGAGUCUAAAGGACCUUCCGGGCCGGCUACCUAUUUAUCUAUUAACCAGGUUGACCUCGGAUCAGGUAGGAAUACCCGCUGAACUUAAGCAUAUCAAUAAGCGGAGGAAAAGAAACCAACAGGGAUUGCCUCAGUAACGGCGAGUGAAGCGGCAACAGCUCAAAUUUGAAAUCUGGCCGUCAGGUCCGAGUUGUAAUUUGUAGAGGAUGUUUUGGGCACCGCGGCCGGAUAAAUUUCUUGGAACAGAAUGUCAUAGAGGGUGAGAGUCCCGUCCUGACCGGCCGUAGGACCUGUGUAAAACUCCUUCGACGAGUCGACUUGUUUGGGAAUGCAGAUCAAAAUGGGUGGUAAAUUUCAUCUAAAGCUAAAUAUUGGCCAGAGACCGAUAGCGCACAAGUAGAGUGAUCGAAAGAUGAAAAGCACUUUGAAAAGAGAGUUAAACAGUAUGUGAAAUUGUUGAAAGGGAAGCGCAGGCAACCAGACUCGAGCGCGGGGUUCCCCCUUCCUUUUGGUCGGGCUACUUCCCCGUGACCGGGCCAUCAUCAGUUUUGGGGGCGGGUUAAAGGCCGUGGGAAUGUAUCUACCCCUUCGGAGGUAGACUUAUAGCCCGCGGCGUCAUGCCGCCUCCCGGGACUGAGGAACGCGCUUCGGCGAGGAUGAUGGCGUAAUGGUUGUCUGCGACC
rnacentral:rRNA from 1 species